CCCUUAGAUGUUCUGGGCUGCACGCGUGCUACAAUGGCGCUUGCAACAAGUCUUGCCAACCCGAUAGGGUGAGCGGAUCUUUGAAGAGGCGUCGUGAUCAGGACAGUUGAUUGCAAUUAUUCGACUCGAACGAGGAAUUCCUUGUAAUCGCGAUUCAUCAUAUCGCGCUGAAUACGUCCCUGCCCUUUGUACACACCGCCCGUCGCUCCUACCGAUUGAGCGAUCCGGUGAAUGUUUUGGACUGGCGUCAGAAGCGGUUCGCUCCUGACACUACGAAAUUUUGUAAACCUUAUCGCUUAGAGGAAGGAAAAGUCGUAACA
rnacentral:rRNA from 1 species